GUCUACGGCCAUACCACCCUAAAUGCGCCUGAUCUUGGAAGCUAAGCAGGGAUGGGCCUGGUUAGUACUUGGAUGGGAAACCACCUGGGAAUAUCAGGUGCCCUAGGCU
rnacentral:rRNA from 1 species